AUUGAACGCUGGCGGCAUGCUUUACACAUGCAAGUCGAACGGUAACAGGCCGCAAGGUGCUGACGAGUGGCGAACGGGUGAGUAAUGCAUCGGAACGUGCCCAGUCGCGGGGGAUAACUACUCGAAAGAGUAGCUAAUACCGCAUACGAUCUAUGGAUGAAAGCGGGGGACCGUAAGGCCUCGCGCGAUUGGAGCGGCCGAUGUCAGAUUAGGUAGUUGGUUGGGUAAAGGCUCACCAAGCCAACGAUCUGUAGCUGGUCUGAGAGGACAACCCGCCACACUGGGACUGAGACACGGCCCAGACUCCUACGGGAGGCAGCAGUGGGGAAUUUUGGACAAUGGGCGCAAGCCUGAUCCAGCAAUGCCGCGUGCAGGAAGAAGGCCUUCGGGUUGUAAACUGCUUUUGUACGGAACGAAACGGCUCUGGUUAAUACCCGGGGCUAAUGACGGUACCGUAAGAAUAAGCACCGGCUAACUACGUG
rnacentral:rRNA from 1 species